rnacentral:lncRNA from 10 species
UGAACAUCCAGUCAAUAGAAAAAUACAUUCAGAAAACACUUACUGAACAUUUAUGAUGUGUCAGACACUGUGUUAGAAACUUGGGAGGCAAAGCUUCUACGUCUAAGAAGCUCAGAGUCAAGUUGGGGGCAGUUUCCUGUGGAACCUGGAAGGAUCAGGAUUCCUGAAAAUUUAAACCAGAACUCAGAUAUUCCAGUAAUUGCUCAUCAAGUGCCCACUAGUAGCUAAGCAUCUGCUACACAACAGCAUACAAAGUCUGGAAGGUCCAAAUUGGAUGUUUACUUGCAGUGAAUAUGUUUUUAAUGGUUUGUUAUAUUCAGAGGAUCAUAACUUCAAAGAUGGUCAUCAAUUAAUUCACAAAGGUAAAGACCUUCACAAUCGGGAACCCGUAGAUUGGAUCUUCUGAAAACAUCAGAGAAAGACUAUCUUUGCCAUCCACACUACAGUAAAACUUUGGAGCCUUGAACCUUGGAUUUAUAAUCUCACAACUGAGAAGGGUCCCUCCAUACUCCUGGAACUGUACACCCAUUGGAACUCUUAAGGUAAAACUAACCAGGAAAGUUUCUCCCCAGAAAAAGAUGGCAUCCUUGAUGUGAACAGCUUUUCCCAAGAUCACAGGUCAAAACUUCUACUAUCAUGAGACUCUUACCUUUGAAUAUUUUUACCUUGUUUAUGCCUCUAUGAGCAACAGAAAUGAAAAGUGGGUCUAUAAUGUGCACUUAUAGGGUAUAAUUUUAUUUGUGAAGGAUUUUGCGGGAAGCCAGCCUUAUACAUAAAUAAACUUAUACUUUAAUAGAUAAAAGAUGAAGGCCCAAGGUGGGUGAGAAACUUUAGUGGUACAUAUGUUGACUCAUAAUCAGUCAAAACUCCUCUUAACCCACAUCAUGGAUUAAAGAGAACAUUGCCAGGAGGCCUUCACUCUUCUAGAAGGACAUAAUUUGUUAGGUCCUUUUUCCAUGGUUUAGAAUACAAGAGGCAAUAAUUAGAAAUGUCUCCCUCUUAAUAGGCAUGGGUUCAAAUAAGGCAAACGUGGAGCUGUAGCCAAUCUCGCUGUUUGUGUACCUCACUUCUGAUUCCUGUGUGUCACUUUAACAUUUUUGUCUAUACAUUUUUUCUGACCAGGAGACACCCCUGGAGUCUGUGAAUCUGCUGUGAUUCUGGGGGCUGCCCGAAUCAUGAAUCAUUCAUUGCUCAAUUAAACUCCUUUAAGUUUAAUUUGGCUGAAGUUUUUCUUUUAUCACACCCUUGCCCCAUGAGCCAGGGAAAGGGCAACUGAGGCCGCAGUAUUUUCAGUGGCACCAAGGUACAC